rnacentral:rRNA from 1 species
AUUGAACGCUGGCGGCAUGCUUUACACAAGCAAGUCGAACGGUAACAGGGUGCUUGCACCGCUGACGAGUGGCGAACGGGUGAGUAAUGCGUCGGAACGUGCCGAGUAGUGGGGGAUAACGCAGCGAAAGUCGUGCUAAUACCGCAUACGUACUGAGGUAGAAAGUGGGGGACCUUCGGGCCUCACGCUAUUCGAGCGGCCGACGUCUGAUUAGCUAGUAGGUGAGGUAAAGGCUCACCUAGGCGACGAUCAGUAGCGGGUCUGAGAGGAUGAUCCGCCACACUGGGACUGAGACACGGCCCAGACUCCUACGGGAGGCAGCAGUGGGGAAUUUUGGACAAUGGGCGAAAGCCUGAUCCAGCCAUGCCGCGUGUCUGAAGAAGGCCUUCGGGUUGUAAAGGACUUUUGUCGGGGAGGAAAUCCCCAGCGUUAAUACCGCUGGGGGAUGACAGUACCUGAAGAAUAAGCACCGGCUAACUACGUGCCAGCAGCCGCCGCAGUAA